UGAGGAAUAUUGGUCAAUGGGCGGGAGCCUGAACCAGCCAAGCCGCGUGAGGGAAUAAGGCCCUACGGGUCGUAAACCUCUUUGUCGGGGAACAAAAGCGGGGACGUGUCCCCGUCUGCGUGUA
rnacentral:rRNA from 1 species